UCAAAACGACUCUCGGCAACGGAUAUCUCGGCUCUCGCAUCGAUGAAGAACGUAGCAAAMCGCGAUAUUUGGUGUGAAUUGCAGAAUCCCGUGAACCAUCGAGUUUUUGAACGCAAGUUGCGCCCGAAGCCAUUAGGCCGAGGGCACGUCUGCAUGGGCGUCAC
rnacentral:rRNA from 1 species